rnacentral:rRNA from 1 species
UACGUAGGGGGCUAGCGUUGUCCGGAUUUAUUGGGCGUAAAGCGCGUGUAGGCGGCUUUGCAAGUCGGGUGUGAAAGCCCUCAGCUCAACUGAGGAAGUGCGCCCGAAACUGCAGAGCUUGAGUACCGGAGAGGAUGGCGGAAUUCCCCAAGUAGAGGUGAAAUUCGUAGAUAUGGGGAGGAACACCGGUGGCGAAGGCGGCCAUCUGGACCGGAACUGACGCUGAGGCGCGAAAGCCAGGGGAGCGAAUGGG